AUUGAACGCUGGCGGCAGGCCUAACACAUGCAAGUCGAACGAGUGGCGGACGGGUGAGUAAUGUGUGGGAAACUCCCCGAUGGAGGGGGAUAACUACUUGAAACGGUAGCUAAUACAGCAUACCAUCGGAUGUGCCCAGAUGGGAUUGGCUUGUAGGUGAGGGAACGGCUCACCUCGGCGACGAUCCCUAGCUGGUCUGAGAGGAUGACCAGCGAAACUGGAACUGUGACACGGUCCAGACUCCGACGGGAGGCAGCAGUGGGGAAUAUUGCACAAGGGGCGCAAGCCUGAUGCAGCCAUGCCGCGGGUAUGAAGAAGGCCUUCGGGUUGUAAAGUACUUUCAGCGGGGAGGCGUUACCCGCAGAAGAAGCACCGGAUAACUCCGUGCCAGCAGCCGCGGUAAUAC
rnacentral:rRNA from 1 species